GCCAUAUUCUCAUACACGCUUCUUUUCUAAAACCCUAGAUAUUAACUUCGUGUUCCUUCUGGUUUACUCAUCUCCGAUCCACGAUUCAAGCUUCAAUCAUAAGGCCGAUGUUGUGAGCCUUUUCUGAUAUCUAAAAUAUCUCACUGUCCCAGCCAGCUUGAGUGUGCUUUUUUCGGCUACCGGUUUUGUCAUCCGAAUAAAAUAGGCGGUGAGUUGUGUAUGGGUUUGAAUCACCAAAAGGUUAGUUAUAGUUGGUUUUGGUAGCGUUUAAUGGACUGAAAUUGAAAGUUGAUUUGUGCAUUCUGAUGGUUACUUAUUGCUUUCUAUUUGUGUGUUCAUCUACUUAUAUAAUUAUUGUCUCGAUUGAUUCUUUGAAUCUCAAUCUUAGACUUGCUAUUUGUUCUCGAUCUUAUGAUUUUGAUGAAUAUAUGGUGAUUUUGUACAGAGUGGUGAAAUUUGAAUCUGAAUUGACAUUUCGAUAGGUGGAGUUCUUGUUUUGGUUUUUCAGAUCUUGCAAUUAGUAGGAAGAAAGAUGACCACAUAAGAGAAAGUCAACUUUCUCUCCUCUUCACAUCUUCAAGCACUGGUGCAAGUCUACUGAGUUCUGUAUCCAAGAUGGUGAUAUAGGUUUUUGUAUGAAAGAUCCAAUGAACCGACUAAUUAAGAUGAUAGUGGAGGAGGUGGAGGAAAACGGGGAUGGUUGUUUUAUGAUACCGUAGGAAGAAAGGUUGAGAGAUUCCAGAUUCGCUAUGUAUCGACACCGUUAUCACUAAACUACUGCACCAACACAUAUGCUCUUCUGGCAGAUCUUAUAUUGUCAAAAACAAUCUUCUCUCUAGGAUUUUAUAAGGUCUUUCCAUCCCAAAAAUAGUCAUUGAUAUUGCAGGUAUGGUUUUCCCUUUAGGUUGUGACUUAUAUUAAACAGGGCAAAUACAAAAUAGCUAUAAGAGGAACGAGCCAAAUGGAUCUUAAGUCAUUGAAGCCCCCAAACGGUUGCUGGUGUUAGGUUCCCAGGGCAACGAUGGUGAUUCAUUCGUUGAUUGUUGUGUAGAUAGAUGAUCGAUUGAGCGGACUACAAGUCUUCAAAGGAGAUUGGGAACUACACACACGAUUUGAGGUUUUGGGUUUCAAUCCAACCCGUAUAAUUUCUUCUCAAAAUCUCUCUGAUCCUUCCAUUUUUUUAGAUGGGCAUAAAAAACAAAACAACAAUGUGUUGGUGACUUGGUUUUAAAAAGCGAGAAGUACACCAAGUCAACAUGGUCUAAAAGCGAGGUGCAACCGCGCAAGGUGAUGAGCGUCCAGACAACCAGCUAGACAACGCAGCCCGUGGCCCAACUGUAUUUGCAAAAUUUGCUUCCAUCAUUUCGAAGUCUUUGCUGAUCUCUAUUGUUGUCACUCAUGGUUGCGAUUCUGGAAUGCACAAUGGGGCUCUUGAGUAUAUCUAAUUUACUCAAUCACUGUCAUGCCAAGCUCAAGAGUUUAAACAUCCUUAAAAAGAUAAGUUUACUUUUCUUGAGCUAGCAUCAACUAUUAAACAAUUUUUAUAGUUAUGCAUUGUUCUUAGGGUUCUUUUUUUAUUAGAAUAUGCGUUGCACUUUUUGUUAA